GACGAACGCUGGCGGCGUGCCUAAUACAUGCAAGUUGAGCGAUGAAGAUUGGUGCUUGCACCAAUUUGAAGAGCAGCGAACGGGUGAGUAACGCGUGGGGAAUCUGCCUUUGAGCGGGGGACAACAUUUGGAAACGAAUGCUAAUACCGCAUAACGACUUUAAACAUAAGUUUUAAGUUUGAAAGAUGCAAUUGCAUCACUCAAAGAUGAUCCCGCGUUGUAUUAGCUAGUUGGUGAGGUAAAGGCUCACCAAGGCGAUGAUACAUAGCCGACCUGAGAGGGUGAUCGGCCACAUUGGGGCUGAGACACGGCCCAAACUCCUACGGGAGGCAGCAGUAGGGAAUCUUCGGCAAUGGACGAAAGUCUGACCGAGCAACGCCGCGUGAGUGAAGAAGGUUUUCGGAUCGUAAAACUCUGUUGGUAGAGAAGAACGUUGGUGAGAGUGGAAAGCUCAUCAAGUGACGGUAACUACCCAGAAAGGGACGGCUAACUACGUG
rnacentral:rRNA from 1 species